UACGUAGGGUGCAAGCGUUGUCCGGAAUUAUUGGGCGUAAAGAGCUCGUAGGCGGUUCGUCGCGUCGGCUGUGAAAUCCCGAGGCUCAACCUCGGGUCUGCAGUCGAUACGGGCGGACUGGAGUUCGGCAGGGGAGACUGGAAUUCCUGGUGUAGCGGUGAAAUGCGCAGAUAUCAGGAGGAACACCGGUGGCGAAGGCGGGUCUCUGGGCCGGUACUGACGCUGAGACGCGAAAGCGUGGGGAGCGAACAGG
rnacentral:rRNA from 1 species